UGGGUUAAAACUACCCGGGAUAUGGAUUUAACUAAGAAACCGAAUUUUCACUGUACAACAAAGAAAAUUUGUACCAUGUAUCGUUAGUUUGAGUUUUUCAAUUUCAAUAUCAUUACAAAGGACGGGCAUAUUACGCACGUGAGUGGAGCCACUGAUUUAGGUGAGAAGUGGGAAGGUAGGCUACAGACGGGAAUUUAAUGUAUAUCUGUAAGCAAAAAAUAAAUCAUUGCUAUCAAAAAAACAAUUCUGAGCCGAGUUAAAUUGAUAAUGUUGAUUUAUCUACAAUACAAUAUAUGGGUACUAUGUCAUAUUAUUGUAAAAUGAUUAAAACAAUGUGCGUUUCCAUGACGACAAUGA